AAACUCGAGGAUGAGGAGCUAGUCUCCUAUAUCCUGUCUGGACUCGAUCAGGAGUAUGAUCCGAUCGUGUCUGCGGUGGCGGCACGCGUCGAACCGAUCUCUGUGAACGAGCUCUACGCUCAACUUGUCUCCUUCGAAC
rnacentral:snoRNA from 1 species